rnacentral:misc_RNA from 1 species
GUAGGUGAACCUGCGGAAGGAUCAUUACAGAGUAUCAUUGCCCUCCGGGGUAGAUCUCCCACCCUAUGUUUACAUACCAUUGUUGCUUUGGCGUGCCCGUCGCAAGACACCCGGCCCCGGCUGGGCAGCGCGCGCCAGAGGACCUAAAACUCUGAAUUUAUUGUCGUCUGAGUACUAUAUAAUAGUUAAAACUUUCAACAACGGAUCUCUUGGUUCUG